rnacentral:lncRNA from 1 species
AUUAUGACAUGUUAAAAGAGUAUCAAACUACAGGGGUCUGGCUACUAUACUAUUAUUAGUACGAUCACCCUCGUACUCAUAAGUUAUUUUCGAUGAUAGAGCUUCCGAAUCGACGAUCCACACCGUUAAAUGUUAUUUACAGCAUUUAAAACUUCUAGAAAUCAAAUUUUAUAAUUUUUCGACAUCAUUUACCGUACGAUCAAGAGGUCACAAAUUUGACAAUUUUUAACGGCCGGUAUGGGAUACUUGCUAGUUUAACGGUGUAAAAGAAUCAGAAUUUGUUAAAUUUUUGAUAGAAAAUUCUAUUCACUACAUAGAUAAAGAUCAAUAAAUCCGAUCUUGAAUUGAAGGAUCUGAUCAUCCUUUUUUAGGACGUCGUUCGAUUUUGACCGUUCAUUUUAUGCCCACUUGAUGGACUUUAUUAUGAUUUCGAAAAUUUACGAAAUUUAUUUUCUAGAAGUUUUAAAUAUUCUAGAUCAUAUUUAACAGAGUGGAUCGUCGAUUCGGAAGCUCCAUCAUUGAAAACAAUUUAUGAGUACGAGGGCUCCAAUACUCAUAAUAGUAUAGUAGCCAUGGCCCAAACUACAAUAGUCAAUCAAAAAUCUAUCGUUGUGGCCAUGACCCCUACUAUGCAUUAUUUCUAAAUUAGAAAAUAGAUCGAUCCCUAAAUAGAGAAAUCCAUUGAGAAAGGGCUUUUGGAAACAGGUAGGGGAUUUAGGUUAUCACAACGUCGAAAGAUGGAAGACAGAAAGUGGUGAAGAAGAGAGUAAGAGAGUGCUAUAGAUGAUAGCUUUGAAUUU